UCGCAUUUCCCUGGGUAAAUGCAAUAGGUACACCCAUUCAAAGGCGGAAAAUUCCUGUGCCCCUUCCCAGACGCAUCUUAUCGAUCGUGUCCCUUUUAUAUGAAUCCUGUUAUGCGCUUAUAUUCAAACUUUUAUCUUAUUCCGUCUAGUCUCAUAGCCCCUUAGAAAUACUUUAGAAUUUUCUUUUUUUCUUAAUUCUUAAAAUAUGUUGAUGCUUGAGGUAUAUUUUACAUCCAUUCAAUACUGACGUGGGGAAAUUCUCGUUUUCUAACUGCAGUAUCACUUAUAUUUGGGGGGCACUUGCACAUACUUAUUUUGGGAUUUUACACCACUAACCUUUCACAUUAAAGCAAAAUAUAUAUGGUAUGGUUAUGUGGGUAUGCUCUCGGUUCUAUGUAUAAUUUAAUAAUUUUAAUCAAGAGAAAAUAACGGAGUAUAAAUGAUACCUAAAUAAGAAUAACUGUCUGCGUGGAAAAUUCCUGUACAUACCACUCCUGUUCUAUAAAUAUAAUUAAAGAAAUCAUUUGUAUUUCAGUCUCUGACUCAUAUUUUAGUUCCAAUAAACGGAAAAGUUAUCGUAAAGUGCUGCAAUUCUUACACCAUAUGGCAACACCCCAUCAUGACGUCAUCUCUAUUCAUGAUCACGUGAUUCCGCUUUGGUCUCGCCUUUGGACGACGAUUUCCAUUUCUUAAAUUGUUUCAACGUAUUUUUUUCAAUAAAGUCUACAUCAAAUCAGUCCCUUAGAACACAUCUCAUAACCACCCGCAAUAUCCUGCAUGUGAGUGCAUGCGGAGGGUCACGUCUUCUAGAACAUUCGCCACUGCGCAAUACCCGUACCUAUUUAAACACACGGCGUGCUCCCAGUGACGCAUUUCGGCUCCAGGGGCGGACGGCGAAGCUACGCGACGUUCUUCAAGCAACACCAUAUAUACAUUCUUUAUUCGGAAAGUUCAUCCAUAGUGACUCUUAGGGAAUAGGAAUCGAAGCAGGAAUGGCGGAGAGCAAACGACAGCGUGCGAGUGAGAGGAAAGGAUGGAGAAAGGAAGAAGGGAACGAACACGUGGCGGGUGACGGCGCGGGGUGAAGCCAGCCGGACAGCCGGACACCCUGAGGGUUGCCAGAUGAACAUCUAUCACCUUUGUUAGAAACGGGUCCUCUUACCUGCCUUCCUGAUAGAUAAGUGUGGCUGACAUGUGGCAGGUGUUGCAAGGGUAGGAAAAUAUAUGCAACAUUUGCCCGUGUUGGGACAGGUAAAUCAGAAGAUCCUACUGUUAAUUACAUUGGCGAGUUUCCUUAUUUUUCUUCUCUUUAGCAUUCUUAAAUUGGAACACAGUAAAGUUAGUCUGUAUGAAUAAAACGGUUUCU